UAGGGAAUCUUCCGCAAUGGACGCAAGUCUGAGGAGCAACGCCGCGUGAGUGAAGAAGGAUUUCGGUUCGUAAAACUCUGUUGUUAGAGAAGAACAGCGCAUAGAGUAACUGUUAUGCGUGUGACGGUAUCUAACCAGAAAGCCACGGCUAACUACGUGCCAGCAGCCGCGGUAAUACGUAGGUGGCAAGCGUUGUCCGGAUUUAUUGGGCGUAAAGCGAGCGCAGGCGGUCAAUUAAGUCUGAUGUGAAAGCCCCCGGCUCAACCGGGGAGGGUCAUUGGAAACUGGUUGACUUGAGUGCAGAAGAGGAGAGUGGAAUUCCAUGUGUAGCGGUGAAAUGCGUAGAUAUAUGGAGGAACACCAGUGGCGAAGGCGACUCUCUGGUCUGUAACUGACGCUGAGGUUCGAAAGCGUGGGUAGCAAACAGG
rnacentral:rRNA from 1 species